AAAAGGAGCAUAAUUAAGACUACCACUCACUCGACUCCGACCCAAUCAUAGACUAACAUCAGGGUUAGGAGUGAGGGUCAAGGAAGUGCAAUACAACUCAAUAUACCACUAAGAAGGCUCUACAAAUCUUUGAAAUGGAGGAAAUGAAAUCAAUUUACAAAAGAAGUUAUUUCACAAUUUGGAACCAAUUUAAUUAUUCAUAAAAGAGUAUAAUCAAGCUACGACUCACAAGUCUUUAAAAUAGAGGAAAUGAAAUCAAUUUACAAAGAAAUCAUUUCACAAUUCGGAAUCAAUUUGAUUACUCAUCAACCCCUCGUAAUUCCUCUCAAUGUUCCCUCAAAUGCAUGUACAGAAUAAUCAAGCAUGGAGAAUCAAGAUUAUAGAGGAAUCUACUACAAUAUCAGUCAAUAUGCACAAGUGGAAUCAAUUCACACUUGGCGACAUUCAUGAAAAUGAAUUAAGAAUGCUCAUGGUGCAAAGUACAUGACUCCCACUCACUCGUCAAUC
rnacentral:lncRNA from 1 species